rnacentral:rRNA from 1 species
UAGGGAAUCUUCGGCAAUGGACGAAAGUCUGACCGAGCAACGCCGCGUGAGUGAAGAAGGUUUCGGAUCGUAAACUCUGUUGGUAGAGAAGAACGUUGGUGAGAGUGGAAAGCUCAUCAAGUGACGGUAACUACCCAGAAAGGGACGGCUAACUACGUCCCAG